AAUCAACGCUGGCGGCGUGCCUCAGACAUGCAAGUCGAACGCGAAAGUCCCCUUCGGGGGACAAGUAGAGUGGCGCACGGGUGAGUAACACGUAGGUAAUCUACCUUUGGAUGGGGAAUAACAACCGGAAACGGUUGCUAAUACCGCAUAAUGCAGCGGCACCUAAUGGUGACAGUUGUUAAAGCGGGGGAUCGAAAGACCUCGCGUCUAAAGAGGAGCCUGCGGCGGAUUAGCUAGUUGGUAAGGAAUGGCUUACCAAGGCUACGAUCCGUAACCAGCCUGAGAGGGCGGUCGGUCACACUGACACUGACAUACGGGUCAGACUCCUACGGGAGGCAGCAGUCGGGAAUUUUGGGCAAUGGGCG
rnacentral:rRNA from 1 species